ACGGAAGUCGUUAUAAAAAGGAUUGAAGAUUUAUCUGAUUGAGAUUUUAUAACAAUGGCUUUAGUGGCGGACUGGUGAGUAACGCGUGAGCAACCUGCCUACUAGAGGGGAAUAACAGUGAGAAAUCAUUGCUAAUACCGCAUAUGCCAUGAACAUCACAUGAUGAAAAUGGGAAAAGAGUAAUCUGCUAGUAGAUGGGCUCGCGUCUGAUUAGAUAGUUGGUGGGGUAACGGCCUACCAAGUCAACGAUCAGUAGCCGGACUGAGAGGUUGAACGGCCACAUUGGGACUGAGAUACGGCCCAGACUCCUACGGGAGGCAGCAGUCGGGAAUAUUGCGCAAUGGAGGAAACUCUGACGCAGUGACGCCGCGUAUAGGAAGAUUGUUUUCGGAUUGUAAACUAUUGUCGUUAGGGAAGAUACAAGACAGUACCUAAGGAGGAAGCUCCGGCUAACUACGUGCCAGCAGCCGCGGUAAUACGUAGGGAGCAAGCGUUAUCCGGAUUUAUUGGGUGUAAAGGGUGCGUAGACGGGACAACAAGUUAGUUGUGAAAUCCCUCGGCUUAACUGAGGAACUGCAACUAAAACUAUUGUUCUUGAGUGUUGGAGAGGAAAGUGGAAUUCCUAGUGUAGCGGUG
rnacentral:rRNA from 1 species